UAACUGUCAUCUGAGAUAUAUAUUAAUCAAAUUCUUGAUUAAUUAUUCAAAUUCCCUAUAUAUAUAUCAUUUGAGUUAAUUACUAUGUAAAACUCAUUGUUGUUACAGGAUCCUCCGGUGCUUCCAAUCCAAUUCCAAUUUGUCCACUUCGUUACACAAUGUAUGAGGAAGCAACCCAAAGAAAGACUAGCUCCAAACAAUCUUAUGGACCACCCCUUUGUCAUGCAAUAUAAUGAUGGCAACACGGAGAUCGUGUCCAUGUGGGUGUGCCGCAGUCUAGAGGAGCGCAAAAGCAAGCAAGCACAGAGACUCAUGUGAACAGCAGCAGCACCGGAUGGAAUUCUGGUGUUCACUUUACUCUUCCACUAAACCUAGAGAAGCAGCAGCUGAUCCAGCUCACAUAGAGCACCUCCUCCCAACAUUUAGUUCAGUGGUGCAUGGUGAGAGAACUGCUACGAAUCGAAUGCAGAUUAAGCUGCAAAUCAGGAUUUUAACCAUGUAUGUUGGUUUGCAUUGAUGCAAAGCUUUAACUUUGUUCUUCUGCAGUGGGUUUCUUUUCACGGUCUGUGCAGAUUCCAAAGUAAAUGUUUUGGCAGAAGAUCCUUGCGGGGGGGCUGUUGCUUGCUCAACUCAACUUGGAUUUGAGUGAAAAUGCUGUCUCUGUCUGUACUUAAAGCAACAAUCUUGCUUUGCCAAAACAGUGUGGGCAUGUCAUAAAUCAUCAUGGUUUUUAAAUAUAUGGGGCUGUGUCAAGCAUUGCUCCCUGCUACAGUGCAAGUCAUGCUGCUGUUGUUUUAAAAGCCACAUUUUGUUGAGUUUCCAAAACAGUUGUGGCAGUAUACCAUUGAAGAUGGAAAAAUGUGAUGCAUUGUUAUGAUGGAAGGCAGUGGAUGAGCUUUAAGAUAGUUCAGCAGCAGCCGAUGGGAAUGAUACAUGAGAGCCCAGUAGAUUUUGUUCUUGCACUCAUCCAGCAUAAGCCCCGCUGAUAACUUUAUUAAAGGGGUUUAUGGGAAUUGGUUCCUUUGAUUUGUGCAUUGCCUUAAUCUCUCUUUCUCGGUAAUUUUAUACACUUAGCUUUAUGUGCUCUAAAAGUUUGGGGUCUUUUAAGAUGUUUUUCCAGCAUUUCCUCAAAUAUGAAGCAGCACAACUGUUUUUAACAUAGAUAAUAGUAAGUUUUUUUGAGCAUCAAAUCAGUAUAUUAGGCUGAUGAAUCGUGAUGAUAUAAUUUUUUUUAUUUAUUUUUUUAUUUUAUGUUAUUACACCAGUGGAUACGACUGCCAUCAACAAGUGGAAGUAGAGCAUUUUAUGUAAUGGAGAAUGUGUAUAGUUCUUCAAAUGUAGUCACAUACCAAAACCAAAUGUUGCAUUGUUAGAUUUUUUUUAAGCUGUAUUACGUUUGUUGCACCAUUUUUUCUUAAUAUGUACAACUUUAUUGAAUUAAUUUCUUAGAUUAUAAUGACAGUUGGUCAAAAAAAAAAAAAAAUCUAUGAGCAACAAAACCAACCAUGUGACUACCUAUAAUAUAAUUGAGGUGAGGUUUGCACAUAAAGGUGAUUUUUUUAUUUUUUUCGCAAUAAAACCUUUCAGAUCUCAUUGUUUCAUUUGUCUGCAUUUCACCGGGUUUCCAUGUUUUUCACAAUAAUACAAGAUAGAUUUACAUGAUUUGUGAACAAAACAUGUGAUGCUGGUGCUCGUAUAGCACACCAUUCUGGACCAUUUGAGGGAUCGUGUUUGAAGCAUAAAUAUGCAGUAUGAGUUAUUAUCUCUAAAUAAAAUUCAGCAAUGCAAGACUGUAUGGAUUUGACCAUCCAUUGUGUUCAUAAAGGUAUUUACAUUUGGCUGUCUGUAUUCUGAGGCCUGUUUAAGUUAUUUAUAAGAUAAAUAAUUUAGUAUGGAAUGAUAAACCUACUUCCAUCUUCAAAGACACUAUUCAUUUAAAGAUACUCCUCUGGAUUAGGUUUAGGUUUAUCCCUCAGAUGAUCAGCAUUACAUAGUUUACACUUUGUGUGUUUGAAAAGAUGGUAUUUGA